rnacentral:rRNA from 1 species
UACGAGGGGUGCAAACGUUAUUCGGAAUCACUGGGCGUAAAGGGUGCGUAGACGGCAAGAUAAGUCAAUCAUUAAAUCUCCUGGCUUAACCAGGAACCUGUGAUUGAAACUGACUUGCUUGAGGAUGGAAGAGAGAAGCGGAAUUCUCGGAGUAGCGGUAAAAUGCGUAGAUCUCGAGAGGAACACCGAUGGCGAAGGCAGCUUCUUGGUCCAUUUCUGACGUUGAUGCACGGGAGCGUGGGGAGCAAACAGG